AGCAGUAGCCGCGGGAAUACGUAGGUCCCGAGCGUUGUCCGGAUUCAUUGGGCGUAAAGCGAGCGCAGGCGGUUAGAUAAGUCUGAAGUUAAAGGCUGUGGCUUAACCAUAGUACGCUUUGGAAACUGUUUAACUUGAGUGCAAGAGGGGAGAGUGGAAUUCCAUGUGUAGCGGUGAAAUGCGUAGAUAUAUGGAGGAACACCGGUGGCGAAAGCGGCUCUCUGGUCUGUCACUGACGCUGAGGCUCGAAAGCGUGGGUAGCGAACAGGAUUAGAUACCCGAGUAGUCCCUGUCUCUUAUACA
rnacentral:rRNA from 1 species